CACGUAGGGCGCAAGCGUUGUCCGGAAUUAUUGGGCGUAAAGAGCUCGUAGGCGGUCUGUUACGUCUGCUGUGAAAACCCUGGGCUUAACCCUGGGCUUGCAGUGGAUACGGGCAGACUAGAGGCAGGUAGGGGAGAAUGGAAUUCCCGGUGUAGCGGUGAAAUGCGCAGAUAUCGGGAGGAACACCGGUGGCGAAGGCGGUUCUCUGGGCCUGCCUGACGCUGAGGAGCGAAAGCGUGGGGAGCGAAC
rnacentral:rRNA from 1 species